GCUUAGGCCACAGAAGCGAGCCACAUAUGACAGACAGCCAAGCUACCGGCUUCCCCCAGUUCGGCCGAUAUUUCCUCAAAAAGGACACUUUCUCAGUGAAACGGCUCAUGGAAUGAAGUGUGGCUCCCGGGCGGUGGUCCAGAGGCAGAUACAUUCCAAAGGCGUAUCCACAGUCUUCAUUGCUGCCGGAAAGAUUUUCUUGCUUUAUCCAUCUGAUGGAGGUGUACCCGGAGUGUGAGUCGUUUUCAUGGAAAGUCUCUGGUGGAAACAUGCAAAACAAGCAGUUUCUUGCAUAAAGCAUUUAAAUGAACAAGGCGGAAAAAAUCAUUGCAACCAAGCUGCGGCAGAAUCGGCUCAGAACGGCAAUGAAUGACAAGCACAGGUUCUUCUUAUAAAUCUUGCUGUGGGCAUUCUGAACUUUACUGAUGAGAGAAGCAAACAUGUGCAGUAAUCAAUUCAAGAUUAGAUAAGGCCCUCUCCCUCAAGGCAUACACACAGAACACGGUACAAGCUGAUUUGGACGUCAACGAGCACUGGUAAUUUCAGCACCAAGGGCAAAGGAUGACCACCUCCAGUGAAGAGUAAGGAAGUUCUAUGAGGAGGUAUACAACAACAACAGUGGAUGUGGUAGGGAGCUGGACAGUAAAAUCAUGACUUUUCAUCCAUUGGAAAAGCAGUGCCCCUCCCACCAGGGCGUAAUGGAAAGGAGAUUCGACACCAGAUUCUCCUGAGAGGUAAACCAUGUUUCUGUAUGGGAGUCCCCCCCAUACACAAAUAUACAGGAUGACACCAUAAAUGUGAAUGCA